rnacentral:rRNA from 1 species
CUACGGGUUGCUGCAGUGGGGAAUAUUGGGCAAUGGGCGCAAGCCUGACCCAGCAACGCCGCGUGGGGGAAGAAGGUCUUCGGAUUGUAAACCUCUGUCCUUGGGGACGAAGAAGUGACGGUACCCAAGGAGGAAGCUCCGGCUAACUACGUGCCAGCAGCCGCGGUAAUACGUAGGGAGCAAGCGUUGUCCGGAAUUACUGGGCGUAAAGGGUGCGUAGGCGGCAUAUUAAGUCAGGUGUGAAAUACUCGGGCUCAACCCGGGGGCUGCAUUUGAAACUGAUAUGCUUGAGUGUGAGAGAGGAAAGUGGAAUUCCUAGUGUAGCGGUGGAAUGCGUAGAUAUUAGGAGGAACACCAGUGGCGAAGGCGACUUUCUGGCUCAUAACUGACGCUGAGGCACGAAAGCGUGGGGAGCAAACAGGAUUAGAUACCCGGGUAGUC